CGAGAGCUCGGUGAGGGGUCUGAGAGCUGGGGGGAAGGGUGAAGAUGGAAGAUGGAGGCCUUGUGUGGAGGGGUCCUUAGUAGAAGAGAUGGGGUUUCACUAUGUCACCCAGGCUGGUCUCGAACUACCGGACUCAAGCAAUCCUCCAUCUCUCGGCUUCCCAAAGUGCUGGGAUUUCAGGUGUGAGCCACCACACCUGGCCUCUCACAGCCCCAUGUGUGGUGCUGGAGAGGACCCUGAGCAACUGAGUGGAGUAUCUGUGCUCCUCCCCUUGAAGAAUUAGGUUGAAUGCUGAAGGGUCUAUCUGCUGGUGGUUCCUUGGCUAGGGAUUUCUUCAGUCAAGUGUUUCCCUUGGCUUUGCCAGGCCAUCAGAAAAAGGUGAAAGUCUGUCAAACGAGGAGGAAAGCACUCAAGAUUUUGGAAAUACUCACCCAAGUG